GGGGGGGGGGGUAGGGGGUUUUAAUUUUAUUAAAACAUAAUGGUUCUCUUAGGGAAAAUGUGGGAGUUUUUGCGAUUGAGAUUUAAAAAAAAAAACUUUUCACAAUGCAUGAUUGAUCAUGUGGUGUGACAAGUUAACUCCCUUCUUUCAAGGAUAGAUUAUCGUUUCAUAAAACGCUAAUAAGAAUUUCCUUUUUGUCUUUUUGAAACAAACUGUAUUCUAUUCUGUAUUUUGAAG
rnacentral:lncRNA from 1 species